UGCUACAACACUGUUCACAAAUAAGGUUAAAUGUUCAGAACUAAACCAUGUCACCAUUUGGCUGUGUUAUCUCACAAUUGUGUGCUAUUCUAGCCACAGGCUAGAAGAUCAGUUUACAUUAUGAAGCAAAGGCAUGAACCAGUGAGACGCAUUUAAUGUACCAUCACCGCUUUGUUAUGGAUGAGUCAUUUUCUGACACCCAGAAACAAUGCAAAGACUUCAAACUAAACUUAAAUGUUUUGUGAUGUAAAAGGGAAAAGUGAUUUGGUUCAAAUCUGAGUCCAAGACUGAAGACAAAUGACAAACUCUUGAACUAGCAACCAGCUGUUCUGCUCAUGCAGACGGUCGAGGUCAGGCAGCGCAAGUUGCGACUCCUGUUCACAACGUGAGACACUAUUAUUAUUGGCUGUCAAACAAUUAGCACCGUUAGAUUGUACGCAGACACACCAGUGUUUCCAUCAUUCAAAUCACAACAGUUAAUUACAUGACCAAUAACAAACUGAAAGGACAAAAUAAAGGCAGGGCAUUGUCAAAGCUUAUUACUGUUAUUUCAGUUUUGCAGACUGCAUGUUUUGUUUAACAUUAGUUGUCUUGGAAUUGUCAACAGGCUUUUGAUUGAAGUGAAAGAGUUAAAUAUGAUCUUAUGUGUGGCUACAAACCAACAAAAAGCAUUCAUCAUAUCUGCAAAUUAAGCUAAAAACAAUACAAGUCCUUGUUUUGAGGGUUGUUCCUCAAUGGCCCUUGAUCAAAAUAAAUAAAUAAAAUGAAGAGGGGGAAAAAAAUCUCGCCUCCACUGUGUCUUGUCCUGCAUUUGGGUCAAAGUGUUAAAGUAAAACCAGCAUGAGGAGUGUCUGUUGGAAUGUGUAGGAGUGGCUGAGUAAGUAUGCGGCGUGAUUAGAGAGUUUCUGGCCUUGACCUUUAGACAUGAAGGAAUGAAUAGAGAUGUGCGUAUGUGCUCAUUAGAUCAAGUACACAGUCAAUUUUGUGUGUGGAGGAAGAAUAAUCACAUCAGAACUUACUGCAGGUUUGUCAACAAUUUAAUGGCUAAAACAGAUAUGUCUGAAACCUUUCAAGCAACAACUGCCGCUCCAUCUUUCUUAUUUCGAAUAAUAUUAAACGACUUGCGCAACAAUUCAAGAAUUCCAGACACUUUGCAGUCACAAUCAAAAUAGAAUAUCAGUCGUGUACCUCAGUGCAUCUGAGGGCGUUAGCAGACUGAGCACCAUACUUAACAUAAGAGAAAUGUGUAAACAUAACAUGGCUGCACAGCUCUAAUCCACACUGUUUACAUGGAAAGCGCAACCUGAGAUUCUGAUACCACACUGAUUAGGGCCAGUCAACUAACACACAGAUCCAACAGGUUAUUUUCUCAUCCAACUGAAGUCUGCCACAUGGAGUAGUGUUUUGUUUUUUUGCUUGUAUAAUGCCCAUGACAA